CAUUAUUGCUAGGGGAGCUUUUGCUGAGAUUUACCGAAAUAUGCAGGAUGUCCCGCUUUCGGAUAAACCCUCAUAACCUGACCCGGUUAAUGCCGGCGUAGGGAAGCAUCAUCGUAUAUGA
rfam:Firmicutes bacterium CAG:238 genomic scaffold, scf383